GAUGAACGCUGGCGGCGUGCCUAAUACAUGCAAGUCGAGCGAACGGACGAGAAGCUUGCUUCUCUGAUGUUAGCGGCGGACGGGUGAGUAACACGUGGAUAACCUACCUAUAAGACUGGGAUAACUUCGGGAAACCGGAGCUAAUACCGGAUGAUAUUUUGAACCGCAUGGUUCAAAAGUGAAAGACGGUCUUGCUGUCACUUAUAGAUGGAUCCGCGCUGCAUUAGCUAGUUGGUAAGGUAACGGCUUACCAAGGCAACGAUGCAUAGCCGACCUGAGAGGGUGAUCGGCCACACUAGAACUGAGACACGGCCCAGACUCCUACGGGAGGCAGCAGUAGGGAAUCUUCCGCAAUGGGCGAAAGCCUGACGGAGCAACGCCGCGUGAGUGAUGAAGGUCUUCGGAUCGUAAAACUCUGUUAUUAGGGAAGAACAUAUGUGUAAGUAACUGUGCACAUCUUGACGGUACCUAAUCAGAAAGCCACGGCUAACUACGU
rnacentral:rRNA from 1 species